AAAUUGAAGAGUUUGAUCAUGGCUCAGAUUGAACGCUGGCGGCAGGCCUAACACAUGCAAGUCGAACGGUAACAGGAAGCAGCUUGCUGCUUCGCUGACGAGUGGCGGACGGGUGAGUAAUGUCUGGGAAACUGCCUGAUGGAGGGGGAUAACUACUGGAAACGGUAGCUAAUACCGCAUAAUGUCGCAAGACCAAAGAGGGGGACCUUCGGGCCUCUUGCCAUCGGAUGUGCCCAGAUGGGAUUAGCUAGUAGGUGGGGUAACGGCUC
rnacentral:rRNA from 1 species